GAGGGUAUACCUCAACGGUAGAGUGUGUUUAGCAUGCAUAAGGUCCUGGGUUCAAUCCCCAGUACCUCCA
rfam:Camelus ferus unplaced genomic scaffold scaffold629, whole genome shotgun sequence.